AUUGAAUGCUGGUGGUAGGCCGAACACAUGCAAGGCGAGCGAGCGGCGGACGGGUGAGUAAUGUAUGGGGAUCUGCCCGAUAGAGGGGGAUAACGACUGGAAACGGUGGCUAAUACCGCAUACGAUCGGAUGAACCCAUAUGGGAUUAGCUAGUAGGUGGGGGAAAGGCUCACCUGGGCGACGAUCUCUAGCUGGUCUGAGAGGAUGAUCAGCCACACUGGACCUGGGACCCGGCCCAGACUCCUACGGGAGGCAGCAGUGGUGAAUAUUGCACAAUGGGCGCAAGCCUGAUGCAGCCAUGCCGCGUCUCUGAAGAAGGCCUUAGGGUUGUAAAGUACUUUCAGCGGGGAGGCGUUACCCGCAGAAGAAGCACCGGCUAACUCCGUGCCAGCCGCCGCGGUAAUUC
rnacentral:rRNA from 1 species